rnacentral:rRNA from 1 species
AUUGAACGCUGGCGGCAUGCUUUACACAUGCAAGUCGAACGGUAACAGGCCGCAAGGUGCUGACGAGUGGCGAACGGGUGAGUAAUGCAUCGGAACGUGCCCAGUCGUGGGGGAUAACGCAGCGAAAGCUGUGCUAAUACCGCAUACGAUCUGUGGAUGAAAGCGGGGGACCGUAAGGCCUCGCGCGAUUGGAGCGGCCGAUGUCAGAUUAGGUAGUUGGUGGGGUAAAGGCUCACCAAGCCGACGAUCUGUAGUUGGUCUGAGAGGACGACCAGCCACACUGGGACUGAGACACGGCCCAGACUCCUACGGGAGGCAGCAGUGGGGAAUUUUGGACAAUGGGGGCAACCCUGAUCCAGCAAUGCCGCGUGCAGGAAGAAGGCCUUCGGGUUGUAAACUGCUUUUGUCAGGGAAGAAAUCCUGUGGGUUAAUACCUCGAGGGGAUGACGGUACCUGAAGAAUAAGCACCGGCUAACUACGUGCCAGCCGCCGCAGUAAGAC